rnacentral:lncRNA from 1 species
GCGUUUAAGGCGGUGAGUUUGGGUUACGGCAAUUGUUCUAAAGCGUAAUUGAAGAAGAAUUUGUUCACAUUAGCUUAGGCAGAGUCGGCAUCAACCUUUGAUGUUUCGUCAUCGUCUGAACCUGCAACAGAGAAGGUUUGAAUUUUUGGUUUUUUUUUCCACUAAUUUUAAUAGAGAAACAACAAAAGUAUAACGGGACCCUAAAACGCUGUACUUUAUUAAGUUUUGGCUGCACAAUUCGUGCUGUCUGUGCCGUUCUCAAAUUUGUUUUUUCAUGUUAGUUUCUCAGUGAUUCUUAAACUCUUUAAUUUUCUUUCUGAAUGUUUUUAUCUUGAUAGAUAUGGAGGAUGUAGACAUAUUGAGAUGAACCUUUAGUUUGUCAUCUUUGAUGAACCAAAGUGAAAACGUACGUUUAAACUGAAUAUCUGAUUGUCUGACUUAAGAUUUGAGGUUGUGUUAGUUAAUCUGAUUUGCUUCGAACGUAAGUGUUUUAUAUAAUAUUGGAAAGCAUAAGGAGACGCCUAACGCAUAGGUGGAGAUAGAAGAUAACAUACCGGUAGAUUGAGGCAGUCCGUUGUAGGCUUCUCUGUAGACUAUGUUAGAUAUCGUUCUACUCUCAUCGCCAUCUCUGCUCAAGUCUAAAAUUUUGAGUCCUUUGGGUGUUGUAACUCUUGACAGUGCCACGUAUAGCUGACCAUGGCUGAAGACUGGUUUAGGCAAGUAUAGAGAGACGUGUGACAAAGUCUGUCCUUGACUUUUAUUUAUUGUCAUCGCAUAACAGACCCUUAUCGGAAACUGGCGUCGCUUCAAGGUGAAUGGAUGGUUGGAUUCUGGUGGUGACAAUAUGAUCCGUGGUAGCAGAAUAGGAUCUCUCUUGGUGGUUGAUGUGAGCAUUUCUGUCUUAAUAACCUUUUCCCCCAAGUGUGUCACUAUUAGUCUUGUGCCGUUACAUAAGCCUUCUUUUUGGUUCAGAUUAUGCAGGAGCAUGACUGGGACACCCACUUUCAGACGUAGUUUAUGCGCCGGUAGACCUGGAAACUCCAAUGAGUUUAGAUAUUCCACCAGGUAUGUCAUAUCUAAGUCUCCUGAAUGUUGCUCUUCCUCCGCAAAGCUGUCUGCACUCAAGUACUCCUUCUCUUCUCCAGGAACUUUUGAUACCAAAUAAGUGUUGAUUUCAUCAACUGUGACAUUCCUUGGUGUUAAUAUGGCAGUCUCUCUGAUUUUGUACAGAUCCUUGUGGUCGUUUGCAAAAUCUGGAAAGGCAGAAGAACAUAGAGUCUCCAAAGGAGUGGAGGUUAUAGGCAGAAGGAUAGUUUUGUCUAUGAGAAUUUGAUCUUCUGGUUGGGCACAG